rnacentral:rRNA from 1 species
AGUGCAUAUGGUGGAUGCCUUGGCGAUUACAGGCGAUGAAAGACGUGAUAGCCUGCGUAAAGUUUCGGGGAGCUGGCAAAUAAGCUUUGAUCCGGAGAUGUCUGAAUGGGGAAACCUACCCUGCAAAGGGUAUCGCAUAGUGAAUACAUAGCUAUGCGAGGCGAACCGGGUGAACUGAAACAUCUCAGUAGCUCGAGGAAAAGACAUCAACCGAGAUUCCGAAAGUAGUGGCGAGCGAAAUCGGAAGAGCCUGUUAGUGAUAGCACAAGACUUAACGGAAUAACCUGGAAAGGUUAACUAUAGGGGGUGAUAGUCCCGUACGUGAAAAGACCUGUGUGAUACUAAGCUAACGACAAGUAGGGCGGGACACGUGUAAUCCUGUCUGAAUAUGGGGGGACCAUCCUCCAAGGCUAAAUACUCAUCAUUGACCGAUAGUGAACUAGUACCGUGAGGGAAAGGCGAAAAGAACCCCGGGAGGGGAGUGAAAUAGAUCCUGAAACCGUAUGCUUACAAAAAGUAGGAGCCUCGAAAGGGGUGACUGCGUACCUUUUGUAUAAUGGGUCAGCGACUUACAUUCAGUGGCAAGGUUAACCGAAUAGGGAAGCCGUAGAGAAAUCGAGUCCGAAUAGGGCGAAUUAGUCGCUGGGUGUAGACCCGAAACCAAGUGAUCUAUCCAUGGGCAGGAUGAAGGUGCCGUAACAGGUACUGGAGGUCCGAACCGACUAAUGUUGCAAAACUAGCGGAUGAGCUGUGGAUAGGGGUGAAAGGCUAAACAAACCUGGAGAUAGCUGGUUCUCUCCGAAAACUAUUUAGGUAGUGCCUCAAGUAUUACCAUCGGGGGUAGAGCACUGUUAUGGCUAGGGGGUCAUGGCGACUUACCAAACCAUUGCAAACUCCGAAUACCGAUGAGUACAGCUUGGGAGACAGUGCACCGGGUGCUAACGUCCGGACACAAGAGGGAAACAACCCAGACCGCCAGCUAAGGUCCCUAAUAUUGGCUAAGUGGGAAACGAAGUGGGAAGGCUAAAACAGUCAGGAUGUUGGCUUAGAAGCAGCCAUCAUUUAAAGAAAGCGUAAUAGCUCACUGAUCGAGUCGUCCUGCGCGGAAGAUGUAACGGGGCUAAGCCAGUAACCGAAGCUGCGGAUUUGCACGCAAGUGCAAGUGGUAGGAGAGCGUUCUGUACGCCUGUGAAGGUGGGUCGUGAGGCCUGCUGGAGGUAUCAGAAGUGCGAAUGCUGACAUGAGUAGCGUUAAAGGGGGUGAAAAGCCCCCUCGCCGAAAGCGCAAGGUUUCCUACGCAACGUUCAUCGGCGUAGGGUGAGUCGGCCCCUAAGGCGAGGCCGAAAUGCGUAGUCGAUGGGAAACAGGUCAAUAUUCCUGUACCGGUCGUAACUGCGAUGGGGUGACGGAGAAGGCUAGGUCAGCCACCUGUUGGACUAGGUGGUUUAAGCGUGUAGGGAGUGGGAUUAGGCAAAUCCGGUUCCACAAUUCUGAGACGUGAUGACGGAUUUUAUCUUCGGAUAAGAUGAAGUGAUUGAUGCCAGGCUUCCAAGAAAAACCUCUAAGCUUCAGGUUACGAGUGGCCGUACUGUAAACCGACACAGGUGGGUGGGAUGAGAAUUCUAAGGCGCUUGAGAGAACUCGGCUGAAGGAACUAGGCAAAAUGGUACCGUAACUUCGGGAUAAGGUACGCCUUUGUUAGGUGAAGUCCCUUGCGGAUGGAGCUGAGAAAGGUAGCAUAAAAUUGGUGGCUGCGACUGUUUAGCAAAAACAUAGCACUCUGCAAACUCGAAAGAGGAGGUAUAGGGUGUGACGCCUGCCCGGUGCUGGAAGGUUAAUUGAUGGGGUUAGCGUAAGCGAAGCUCUUGAUCGAAGCCCCAGUAAACGGCGGCCGUAACUAUAACGGUCCUAAGGUAGCGAAAUUCCUUGUCGGGUAAGUUCCGACCUGCACGAAUGGCGUAACGAUGGCCACACUGUCUCCAGCCGAGACUCAGUGAAAUUGAAAUUGCGGUGAAGAUGCCGUAUACCCGCGGCUAGACGGAAAGACCC